GGCGGUCUUCGGUAGUGGCUGCCGGAUGAGCUUAUCCGGCCGCUUCGAUCGACGGCCGUA
rfam:Mycobacterium kyorinense strain E861 contig_94, whole genome shotgun sequence.